rnacentral:rRNA from 1 species
UGGGGAAUAUUGGACAAUGGGGGCAACCCUGAUCCAGCAAUGCCGCGUGUGUGAAGAAGGUCUUCGGAUUGUAAAGCACUUUCGACGGGGACGAUGAUGACGGUACCCGUAGAAGAAGCCCCGGCUAACUUCGUGCCAGCAGCCGCGGUAAUACGAAGGGGGCUAGCGUUGCUCGGAAUGACUGGGCGUAAAGGGCGUGUAGGCGGUUUACACAGUCAGAUGUGAAAUCCCCGGGCUUAACCUGGGAGCUGCAUUUGAUACGUGUAGACUAGAGUGUGAGAGAGGGUUGUGGAAUUCCCAGUGUAGAGGUGAAAUUCGUAGAUAUUGGGAAGAACACCGGUGGCGAAGGCGGCAACCUGGCUCAUGACUGACGCUGAGGCGCGAAAGCGUGGGGAGCAAACAGGAUUAGAUACCCUGGUAGUCCACGCUGUAAACGAUGUGUGCUAGAUGUUGGGUAACUUUGUUAUUCAGUGUCGCAGUUAACGCGUUAAAGCACAC